UCCUGUCUGAAUAUGGGGGGACCAUCCUCCAAGGCUAAAUACUCCUGACUGACCGAUAGUGAACCAGUACCGUGAGGGAAAGGCGAAAAGAACCCCGGCGAGGGGAGUGAAAAAGAACCUGAAACCGUGUACGUACAAGCAGUGGGAGCACAGGUUUACCUGUGUGACUGCGUACCUUUUGUAUAAUGGGUCAGCGACUUAUAUUCUGUAGCAAGGUUAACCGMAUAGGGGAGCCGSAGGGAAACCGAGUCUUAAYYGGGCGUUAAGUUGCAGGGUAUAGACCCGAAACCCGGUGAUCUAGCCAUGGGCAGGUUGAAGGUUGGGUAACACUAACUGGAGGACCGAACCGACUAAUGUUGAAAAAUUAGCGGAUGACCUGUGGCUGGGGGUGAAAGGCCAAUCAAAC
rnacentral:rRNA from 1 species